UGAACCUGCGAAAGGAUCAUUA
rnacentral:rRNA from 2 species